CUUGCAAACUGGAGAUGGCGACCGGCGCACGGGUGAGUAACACGUAUCCAACCUGCCGAUAACUCGGGGAUGGCCUUUCGAAAGAAAGAUUAAUACCCGAUGGCAUAAUAGAACCGCAUGGUUUGAUUAUUAAAGAAUUUCGGUUAUCGAUGGGGAUGCGUUCCAUUAGGCAGUUGGUGGGGUAACGGCCCACCAAACCUUCGAUGGAUAGGGGUUCUGAGAGGAAGGUCCCCCACAUUGGAACUGAGACACGGUCCAAACUCCUACGGGAGGCAGCAUG
rnacentral:rRNA from 1 species